rnacentral:rRNA from 1 species
UUCCGGUUGAUCCCGCCGGACCCGACCGCUAUCGGGGUGGGGCUAAGCCAUGGGAGUCGUACGCUCCGGUUACCGGGGCGUGGCGGACGGCUGAGUAACACGUGGCUAACCUACCCUCGGGACGGGGAUAGUCCCGGGAAACUGGGGCUAAUCCCCGAUAGGUGGAGCGGCCUGGAAGGGUCCUCCACCGAAAGGGUGUCGCGGGGAUGUCCGCGGCGCCGCCCGAGGAUGGGGCCACGGCCCAUCAGGUAGUUGGCGGGGUAACGGCCCGCCAAGCCUAUAACGGGUAGGGGCCGUGAGAGCGGGAGCCCCCAGAUGGGCCCUGAGACAAGGGCCCAGGCCCUACGGGGCGCACCAGGCGCGAAAACUCCGCAAUGCGGGCAACCGUGACGGGGCCACCCCGAGUGCCCCGAAGAGGGGCUUUUCCCCG